rnacentral:tRNA from 1 species
UGAAUCUAGGAAGAAAAGACAAUACCUUCUUAUUUACC